CGCCCAAGAAGAAAUUUUAGGAAGCAAAAAUGGCCUGGAAAACGGAUACUGACCUCGAAAAUUCCGACCCAAUUUCAGAAUCCGGCGAUGUUGAGUGGCCUUGUAAACCCGUCGUUGAAUCGUCAGGCUGGCCUACUAGCUGGCAAAACGACAGUAACAAAUCAAAGCUACAAACCCCUUUACCUACCGCCGAAGACGAAGCUGCGAACAACAGUCAACUUCCGGCAUUGCUCAAAGUUGCUGAAUAUUUGAACUCCACACUCAGUCUCGACGACGAUGACGAGUUUUCUGAGUAUAUAGGUGAAAAUGGGGAUUAUUUCAUCAAUGACGAUGAGGGUUUUCUGGAUGGGGAAGAGGGGUUUCAGGACUAUGAUUUUUUUGUGAAGUUGUUCAAGCAGGAUGAUGGG
rnacentral:misc_RNA from 1 species